ensembl:lncRNA
CCUCCCUUCUCGGGCUCGUCCCUCCCGGUGCGGUUUGGCAGAGAAAGCCCUCGCAGUCCCCUGGAAGACUAUCCAACGCCGGCCGGCCGGGAGGCGCCCCGCCGCAGAAACCCGACGCUGAUGCCGGGCUCAGCCAGCCUCAGUUUCCUCAUCUGUAAAACCAUGACUGAAAAGCCCUGGCAACUUCAGUUCAGGACCACAAUGGUGAGGUUUUGCUAGUGCAGCUGACUCCAAAGGAGCAAGUGCUGUCAUCUUGCUUAUGUUGUGACGGAUUUGGGUGGCUUCAGUUUGCAAGGGGCAGGAUUCAGCGUUUGGCCGAGGGUCCUGCGCUAUCUGCACACAGUGAAUGCGUUUCCAGCCCAACGGAAGUUGGAAACUUGCAG